CAAAUCUAAGUGUUUUCUUUUCAAAUGUACCUAAUUCAUGCAUUCUGUUUUAAGUUCUGUAAAGGUGUUUAAAAAAAAAGAAGGUAAAACCCUGGAAAUAGAGCAAGACAUUUCUGUUCUCCAGGAACAGUCUCUAUUCCCAGGCAGCUAGGAAAGGGAAAAAGCCAUUGAUUAUUAAUUAAUUAGCUAAUUAAUGAGAACAUGCAGCUGAUCUGUACCCAUUCCACACAUACCCCCCUCCCCAUCUUACAAAGUUGUUACCUCACUGUUUGCCAAACAUUUUAGAGAUUAAUUCCCUUCAGAAAGCUCUGCUGUCUCUCCUCCCUUUUCUGAAGGGGAAAAUCCUAGUGAUUGCUUUCUUUCUCUGGCUAAUAAUUAUUCAACUAUUCCAUGCAGAACAGCAAGGCUUGAGCUGGAAGAAUGUGCUGUGUGAUAGUGGUUGCCGGUUUGAAUUUUACAUUCAGAGGGAGGUGUCAACAUACAAAUCUCACCAGGGGAAAGCAGAAUCAAACCCAGACAUUUCGUCCUUGGGGUGAUACCCUUUAUUUGGCUGAGCAUAUGCCUGUGUGGCUGACUUAAAAGUUAUGCUUGAAGAUCAGGCCUUUACUGAUUAAACAGGCAGGGAAACAAUUAAAUUAUGGAAGUUUCAAUAUGGUUUAGUUGCAGUCUGUUGCCUGAGAGAGGUCUGCUCAUCCUUAUGAAAACAUGGGGUUGUUGGUUAUAUUUUUAUCCAUACAGUAAUGUCACUCGUAAGUAUUUAAGUAUGUAAACACCUCAGGAACUGAAGGACUGUGAAUUAGGUGUUUACAGCCGCAAUAAAUGGAGCUGUUUAACACUGAAGAAUAAGAUGAGGAGAUGGUGUUAUUUUCUUACAUUUCAGAAGAGAGCAAGGAGUUCCAAUUCUGACUGAGGAUGUUCUCUAUCUAACAACAUCUAACAACAUCACAUCAUUCAGUGAUCUAAGUGUGGAGGCUGUUUUAAGGCAGGAAAGUUCUAUGGGCACAGGAACAGAAGCAAUUUACAGUAAAGUAAGAAAAAAGAGUGCAAAAGUUAAAAAUUUAUAUAAAAUAAAAGUAAAACGAUAAGCAAACCAACACAGGAACCUCAAAUAGACACAUCUGUGGCCUGGCUUUCAAUUCCCAAAUGCUGUAAUGGAAACUUAUUGAUCAGAGCAAAUCCACUGCAGGAUCAAAAUGUACACCGAACAUUUUUUGUCAAAUUGUGACAGAGGAAUUCUGGAAGAUUGAAAGAACUUUUAUUCAAGAAUAAAGGGAGGAAAAUGCAAGCAAGUAUGUCAGCAUUUUCCCCUCCAGCUUGUAUGAUCUGUCAACUCAGACUUACUUUGGAUCAGAACAGUUUUUCUUUUCCCACCAGCUUUCUGUAAAUUACUCUUUGAUUUCUGGAACAGUUUAAGUCACAUUAUCUAAAUAAUGCUAAAAACCCAUACUUGGGAAUAUGCUGUCCCGUUUUCUGAUACCCUCCAUGCAAGCCAAGAAAAACAGCCCUAACAUCUCUGUAGUCAGAGAAAAGAUAUCACAGGGAUGCAAAACCUGAAAUGGAAAGAGGUUGAUGGGAUAAUUUUAGGGGAUGAUGGGGGAACCUUAUUAAAAUAUAAACUUUGGACUAAAUACUUCCAUCCAUGGGAAUUAUAAAGGAAUAGGCCUCCUUUUAUGCUAAGCUUCACAAGUGCUUACUGGAGCGUUCUCAGGUAAUCUCUAAAUAAAUGGAAAAGAGCUGCUUAAGUGGGGGAGAAAAAGAGUAAAUCUGGGCACAGCCCCGAGCCACUGGGAAACCACAGGACCAUGGCUACUCACACAGACAGCACGGAGAGGUGAAAUGGAAACAGGAGAGACACUAAGGAAGGAAAGGAUAGUUUUCUAAACUUCAGAUAGUUCAGAAUUAUAGUAAAGAAAAGCGCCUCACUUCAGGGCACAUCGGUUGUAACUAGGAAUGGAAAGGUAAUGGAAAGGUAAUGGAAAAGUAAAAAGGUUGGAAAGAAAAAGUUUUUGCAUCAAAGAAAAAAAAAAUAAAAUGAGAGAGAAGUAAGAAAAUUCUUGUGUAUACUUCAGAGAAAGCUAACCUUUCUAGAUGUCAGGUACUCUCACCUGUUUACCAAGAUAAAACACCUUGAAUUUUUGCAUUGAAAUAUAUUUGCUAUAGGUUGACCUACUAAACUUUAAAUUUACAUACUGGAGAAUAAUUUCCAUCCUGUAUGGGAUCCAUGUUUGUAUUUAUCAGUGGUAGGCUGUACAUGUACACAGAAUUUCAGGUUCCACAGUGUUGCAGAGGUCUACGUGCUUCCCUGGUUUACAGGGAAUACAAAAGACUGAUUAGAAACAAGAAUUGCAAUUCAAAUAUUUCUUUUGUGUCUCAAUAGUGAUGUCUGGAUUUGAAAUAAAAGGAAUAAAGGAAUAAUGAGUACAGCCCAUUAAAAAAAAAAAAAAAAAGAUGUCAUAUAUUUUGGGACAGGGAAUUCAAGGCAAAAUUUAAAAAGGUACUAGCUCCCCAUGAAUUUGAUGCAUAUUAACUUCAAAAGUCUUGCCUUCCUUAUCCCAAAUUUUUCUGUCAUGGCUUGUUUAUUUUACAGGUACCAGAUAUGCAGAUUCGGAUACCAGUGGUACUAUCUGGUUUUGAUAUAUUUUAUCCUCCAUACUGCCAAAGGCCAAUGAUUUGCAGCUGGGUAUGAAAAUAAAAUUUGACUCUGCCUGAAACAUGGCUGUGAGGGAGGGAGAAAUGAGCUGUGCACUUGUUUAUACAAGAAAGAUAAGAAAAACUACUUUGAUUUGACACCAUGCUGUAGACUGAUACCAGUGUGCUCAAGGAAGAAUGAACUCCCUGCGAGUACUUUAAAGUCAGAAUUUCAGGCACACAACUUGGUAAUUCAAAUAUAAGCAACAGCAAAAUAUUUUAUUACUUGCUCUGGCACUCAUCCUUCUCAGGCUACCAGUGAUGCUCUUUCAGUUAGGCAACCAUAAAACUGGUUCACAAAUAUCACCCAAAGCUGUCUCCUACGUGGAAAAACUCAGGAGAGUUUUCUGCAUGCUGGUGCCCCGAAUUAAGAAACUGAAUUAAGGAAAACGAAGAUGAGUGAUAGGAGGAAAAAUAAAAAUGGAAAACAGUGACAAAGAGUGGGCACAUACAGGAACUGAGGAGAGGAUCAAUAAAAAACAGACAGUGAAGUUUGGCAGGAUGUUGUUUUCACAUUAUAUCGCACUGGGAGAUGCCAAUAUGCUGAACUGUAAUUAACAGAAAGCAUUUCAGAGAAUUACUUACUGUCAUUGUAUCCUUCCCUGUUAAGGGCUGACAGUUUGUCUCUGUCCCUACUGUAAUUUCUUGUAUCUGAACUCAUAUCUGAAGCUAAAUAACUCUCCCUGGGGAGACACUUCAUGCCCACUUGGAUCUGCACUUCUUCUCCAUUAGCAGAGGAAAAGCUCCCAAUUAUAUUUCCCUCCUUAUCUCUGGUGUCAUGAACCGAAGACUUUUAACACCCUGGUCAGAUUUAGACACAGACUUACUCACUUCAUGCCCUCAGUAUCGACAGAGCCCAAACCUUUUCUUAAUGAGGUGUGACUGGCCGCGGGAGUCACAGCCUCACUGACCGGGAGCAGAGAGGCCAUUUAGCUCCGUGAUGAAUCCCUGGGAGGUGCCCAGCCAGGACCAUCCUCCCACGCUAUUGGGGGUGACCAGAGUGGAAACACCAGGGCUCAGCAGCAGCUACUCAAGAUGCAGCAAGAACUGGUGUCCUCCGGAAGGAGAGGAGGUGCUGCAGCGUCCCUCGCUGUUUGGGGGAGCUGGGACAGGAGCCAGGUCCAGGGGCAGGCUGGAAUCAAACUCAGCCUGAGAGCAGGCUGAGUUUUCCAACUUUUGACACUUCACACCUCCAUAAAGAAAUUAAUAUCAUGCAUUUUAUAAUUGUUGUGAAGCACACUCGGGAAGGUUUUUAUGCUGGGCUUAUUAUGGCACAUUGUAAUGUCACCUUGGCACUACUGUCACACCCUCUUAUCCAUUACAUACAUAACCAAGGAUUAUGCAAAAAAAAGAAUAUUCAUGACUUUUAGUCGACUCUUGAUUAGUAAGAUGGUUGUGCUAUGCAUAAUGAUAGAAAAAAUGUUUAUCCUGAGGAGCCAUUAUCCAAUACUUGCAGAGCUCUAAUCUAAAUUCCAAGGGCAAUCCAUUCUAGAAAAUGGGAGGUUAUCCACAGUUAAAGGAUAUUGAAAAUUUUGUCCUCUUGUGAAGCUUAGAUCAUAUGUUUUAAGAGGAAUCAAAAAACAGGACACCAUGUCAAAAUAUGAUUAAAAAAUAUUGUUUAAAAAGCCAGAAAUCAAACACUACCUGUAAAGUGAAGGGUUAAGGGAACCCCUGCAGAGCAUUUGAAAGCAAAAAUGCCAAGAUUUAUUCUUUUUGAUGUUAUUGAAAGGUGAGAACUGUCAUCUAGAAAAGGUAAGAAUUGACUGAAAAAACAUGUGGAGGAUGUUGCAAAAACAUUUGCAGGCAUGUCUGUGAAAGAAUAUGCCUUAGAAAGCAUCUGAAAUUGUUCACACUCAAAUUUUUGUGAAGUUUCUCAGGGCUGUACAAAGUUAGGAAUUGUGUUUGGGGCAACACACUUCAAUUAGCAUUAAUUUUUGUGAUGUAAUAAUAUAUUCAAGAUGAUGUGUUGAGACUUUGGAGCAGGACAUCCUCUCUCCAGCUUUCUGUGAACAAAGCACAACCCUGCUCUCUUGGCAAUGCCAAAGCCUCCCAAGCACCCACAGCAGCCAAUUCUAGGUGGUAUUGUUCACUUUGGUAACAGAAACAUCAGACAUAAGUGUUGCUUUAGGAAAGUGACGGGAAUUGGAGUGAAAAAAUAAACGGCUUGUUUCAGAUCGAGAACUCAUCAGAGCACAACAGUGAAAAAGUUUCAAUUUUAAAGUCUUAAUUUGGAGUGAAUGGAAAGAAGGCAGGAAGGAUAGAACUGCUAUCCACAACUACUACAUGGCAAACACUACCAAAUCCAAAUCCUGGAAACCUGCAGGAUAGGACUGUAAAUAAGGAAUGCCAUUAUUGUCACCUCUUGCAUUACACAGGCCAAAGAAAUCUAACCUGCAGCUCCUGUGCAGAGCCUACAACUGUGGCUGAGGCUUGAAAUAUAUUCCAGUGGUGGAAAAUCCAUCUUAUGCUCAGAGGGGAAAGGGAUGAAGUGAAUAGCUUAAGUCCUAAGCUGCUUAAGAGAUUCUAAGCCCCUUAAGGGUAGGGGAUGUUUUCUGAAAACUGAACUCUUUUGCAGUUUCAGGAAUAUACAUGAGACAUGACCUCUCCCAUAAUGUGAGUGGCUGGAAAAACCACUUUUUGGCAAUCGCUUUGAUAAAUCCAGAUGCCUGGAAAAAUCCUAUACUGCAUGAAGUGUCCUGAGCUAAGACAGCUGAAAAUCCAACUCUACAAAGGCAAUGGAUUCAUUUUCACAAGACUCUUAAAAAGUAGAAAAAGCAACAUUAUCUUCAGUUCCCAGAGGAUGAAUUGAAUGUCUUCUGCAAACAAACCUACAUAUCUGAGUUCUAAGAUAGCAUCUUCCCCUGCAGGAUCAUCCUUCCCCUCAAAAAUAAUUUGUUAUUAAAGGAGAAAGAGAUAAGCAUUCCAGAAACACCCCAAUGAACUAAGGCUGCUUUCCAACCACGAAAAAACUGAAGGAAGAUGCCGUGCAUCCAUAUGGACUGAGAUACCACUUACAGGCAACACUCUGAAAAACAUUUAUAAAUUGAAGUAAUGACAAAAGCUUUCCAACCUUUGCAGAAAAGCUGACUGGUGCGAGAGGUUUUCCCUUUAUUCCAUUCUGCAGGUGGCACCGUGUUAUUUGCUAAAAUCUAGGGAUUGCUGUAGUCUCCUAAGCCCCCACAUGGCUCUUUCCAGUCUGAGGAUGCCAGAGCUCCUUCAGCAACCUGAAGAAGUGACCAGGUUUGACAGUUUUUGCCUGGAGUUACCACUUAUUUCUCAGGUCUUUGUCAGUAACAACUUCCAUUAGUUCACCUCAGAGGCAUGGAUAGGUGGAGUAAUUGGGCUUUGGGGAUUUUGAUGGCCCUUUUUUUUUUCAGUUGUGCUGAUCAGUUGAGUACAUUUCGGCUACAGGGAGCAGAUGGGAGGAUCAUUCUUGCCUCACAUAAUGACACACCAGGAGAGCAUAAAGCUUCUGUGUGCUCCUCCAUGCAACACAGGCACAAAACUUUAUAAUGGACAUGUUCUCAACUCAGCCACUGAAUAUAUCUACAAUGCACAUCCAAAAAACCCCAAACUUAUCUUCUCCACAGCAUUACCUCUGAAAGUGCCCUCCCUGGUUCCUGGUACCAGAGCAGGCCAUGAGUCUUUUUGAAAUAGCUCUCUUCUAAAUGUAAACUGUUCUCAUGUGUGGUCAGCCCCUCUCUUUCUGAGAAAUGAGGAUGAUCUUCAUUUAUAAACUGCAACCAUGUUUGUGUUAAAUGUCUUUCUUUGUGGAAUGAGCAAUAAACCAGAACGUACUCCUUUUGA